ACUUAACACAUAGGCAAGGUCGAGCGCCCCGCAGGGGAGCGGCAGAACGGGUGAGUAACGCGUGGGAAAUCUACCCAGCUCUACGGAAUAACUCAGGGAAAACUUGUGCUAAUACCGUAUACGUCCGAUAGGAGAAAGAUUUAUCGGAGUUGGAUGAGCCCGCGUUGGAUUAGCUAGUUGGUGGGGUAAUGGCCUACCAAGGCGACGAUCCAUAGCUGGUCUGAGAGGAUGAUCAGCCACACUGGGACUGAGACACGGCCCAGACUCCUACGGGAGGCAGCAGUGGGGAAUAUUGGACAAUGGGCGCAAGCCUGAUCCAGCCAUGCCGCGUGAGUGAUGAAGGCCCUAGGGUUGUAAAGCUCUUUCACCGGUGAAGAUAAUGACGGUAACCGGAGAAGAAGCCCCGGCUAACUUCGUGCCAGCAGCCGCGGUAAUACGAAGGGGGCUAGCGUUGUUCGGAAUUACUGGGCGUAAAGCGCACGUAGGCGGAUUGUUAAGUUAGGGGUGAAAUCCCAGGGCUCAACCCUGGAACUGCCUCUAAUACUGGCAAUCUCGAGUUCGAGAGAGGUGAGUGGAAUUCCGAGUGUAGAGGUGAAAUUCG
rnacentral:rRNA from 1 species